rnacentral:rRNA from 1 species
UGCGCAGGCGGCCUGCUAAGUCGGAUGUGAAAGCCCCGGGCUUAACCUGGGAAUUGCAUUCGAUACUGGCAGGCUAGAGUUUGGUAGAGGUAAGCGGAAUUCCGGGUGUAGCGGUGAAAUGCGUAGAUAUCCGGAGGAACAUCAGUGGCGAAGGCGGCUUACUGGACCAAAACUGACGCUCAUGCACGAAAGCGUGGGUAGCAAACA